rnacentral:rRNA from 1 species
GAUGAACGCUGGCGGCGUGCCUAAUACAUGCAAGUCGAGCGAACGGACGAGAAGCUUGCUUUUCUGAUGUUAGCGGCGGACGGGUGAGUAACACGUGGAUAACCUACCUAUAAGACUGGGAUAACUUCGGGAAACCGGAGCUAAUACCGGAUAAUAUUUUGAACCGCAUGGUUCAAAAGUGAAAGACGGUCUUGCUGUCACUUAUAGAUGGAUCCGCGCUGCAUUAGCUAGUUGGUAAGGUAACGGCUUACCAAGGCAACGAUGCAUAGCCGACCUGAGAGGGGGAGCGGCCCCCCGGGAACUGAGACCCGGUCCAAACCCCUACGGGAGGCAGCAGGAGGGAAUCUUCCGCAAUGGGCGAAAGCCUGAGGGAGCAACGCCGGGUGAGUGAUGAAGGUUUUCGGAUCGUAAACCUUUGUUAUUAGGGAAGUACAUAUGGGUAAGUAACUGGGCACAUCUUGACGGUACCUAAUCAAAAAGCCACGGCUAACUACGU